AUGAACGCUGGCGGCGUGCCUCAUCCCUGCAAGUCGCGCGAACAGACGAGGAGCUUGCUCCUCUGACGUUAGCGGCGGACGGGUGAGUAACACGUGGAUAACCUACCUAUAAGACUGGGAUAACUUCGGGAAACCGGAGCUAAUACCGGAUAAUAUAUUGAACCGCAUGGUUCAAUAGUGAAAGACGGUUUUGCUGUCACUUAUAGAUGGAUCCGCGCCGCAUUAGCUAGUUGGUAAGGUAACGGCUUACCAAGGCGACGAUGCGUAGCCGACCUGAGAGGGUGAUCGGCCACACUGGAACUGAGACACGGUCCAGACUCCUACGGGAGGCAGCAGUAGGGAAUCUUCCGCAAUGGGCGAAAGCCUGACGGAGCAACGCCGCGUGAGUGAUGAAGGUCUUCGGAUCGUAAAACUCUGUUAUUAGGGAAGAACAAAUGUGUAAGUAACUAUGCACGUCUUGACGGUACCUAAUCAGAAAGCCACGGCUAACUACGUG
rnacentral:rRNA from 1 species